UAUUACAAGUUCAACUGCUUCUUGAUUAAAUAUUUCUUGGUGUUAUAUGCAUCUGGUGGUAAAUAUAUGAUCUUAUGCGUGGAAUCUUUCAUACACACAAGUUACUGAUAGAAACCUGUACCAAAUAGAGAAAUAUAAUAGAAAUAACUGUUAAUGAUGAUAGAAUAGGCAGUACAAUAUCCAGACGCACAACACUCACAAUCUUGACAUAAAUAAAAUAAAAGAUAAAGGAUUCAUAUCCAAGAAUUUCAAGUCAUGGUCUCUCCCCUUCAAGAACUCAAGAGCUUGCCUCUCCCUUCCAAAUAGCCACUUUCUAAUUUUUAAGAUAAUCCAGUCUGCAGUUUCCCUUUUAUUGACACAGAAUAUAUAACUAACUUAAUAACUACUUAUUACAAAAUAACCGCCUUAACUACCACAAUAUAACUGCUAUUGUAAAAAAUAUAAUAUUUAUUUAACAAUAAUAAAUAGUCAAACAGUUACUAGCCCAGCUCUUAACUUGACAUAGAAGAAAACUUCUUCAAUUGCACCGCCCAUGAGAAAGAAGUGAGUGUAGAGCGCGAAACAUUGAUUAAAUUUUUGUUUUAGUCGUAAAUUUAAUAUUGGUGAUGUAAAAAUAUUAGAACUAAAUUUCUGCCACUUAUUGUGUCUGAUCGCUCUACCAUAUGCAAUGCAAUGGUUAAAGUGACAAGGAACCUGUUGCAUCAAAUGGGAUAAAAGUGGAUAUAUCACCUUUGCUACUAUUCAUUAAUAUAUGAACAGCUUGAUAUCUAUAAUUGUUUACCAAAUGUAUUUCAGACAAAAGAAAAAGAGCAAUAUCCUGCAGACUUCUGGAGAAAACGCACGAACAAGCAGGAAAGUGGGAAAGUGCAAUCUUCCUAUCAUUUGCACAUCCUCUUGGAUUUCAAGAGAUACAUAGUUAGGAUUUCCCUUCCAUUGUUUCCAUGCAAACCAGUCAGUGUUACGUAUUUCCUUUUCUUUAUUCCAUUAUUAAUAUGGUUGUUCUUGUAAAGAAAAGGAAUGUCAACAGUAGGAGCGAAUCGGGGAAAUACUGGUUGUGGGCUUAUGGUAUAAUGCAACUGUCAUUGAUAGAAAUGGAGAAUUACAAUCGAGAACUUCUGCUUGGUUUUCAAACAGACAAGGAAAUGGGCGGGGAUUGCAGCAAUGACAUGACAGCAGAUGGAAUAUGUUGCAGAAUUUUAGAUGCCUGUAUAUUUAAUAUUUCUGGGUUUGAUUAUUAGUUGUAAGGAACACAUGUAUUUAGAUUAUCUAUUGGUUUUGGUUAUUGAUGUAAAGGCUUACUACAACAUAAUAAUGUAUUUAGGAUCAUACAAAAGUGGUACUCACAUACUAAGCUAUAGCUACGGUGAAUGAUAUGGCAUGCUACAUCAGCUCUGCUUUAAUCUAAUUCUGGCUUCAAUCUUAA